CUCCGGACUCACCCGACGCCAUGCAACGAGCAAUAGCUUAUCUCAAGUUUUGAAAAAAAUGAAAAAAAGAAAAAGCGGCUCUAACCCCGCACACAAACUGGCGGUUGGCUAGCAGGCUAGCUAGCUAGCUAGCUACGCCCUUACGCAGUCCCCGAAGAAAUUAGCCAGAAACUUUUCCUCACUUUCACAGCAGCGCUAAACUUCCACAAAAAAAGAGAGACCCGAGGGUGCAGAUGAGCUCGGCGCUUCGGCCCGCCUGGUUUUCGCUAACACAGCUCGGAAAGUGUCUCCGCGCGGAGCCGGACCACGACAGACACGGACCGACGGAGGGCCGCUGGGAAAACCCGGCGCUGGAUCCUCGGCGACGGGAGUCGAUUCCACUCAAAUGAUGACUUGGCGCAUUAUCACGGCGGUUAAUUGUUCCCGCCCCGGGGAAGCGAAACAUACACCAAAACAAACAAUUAUGAUCUAUGUAUUUAGAACGGACUAAAGUCACGGAUGAAAAACAACAACUUGAUCAAAAAAGUUAGAAAUAGGAGUAUAUCCAGUGCACCCUCUGCACUAUUUAUUUAAUUAUUAUGCAUGUUUUUUGUUCUAUUUCAUGUGCUGAUUUGCAUUAAGUAAUAAUCUACAACACUUUUACCAAAUUAGAUGUUCAGUCAUAUCUGUAAACUUAAAUAUAAUCAGUUGAUACAAUUGUUGGAAGUUAAACGAAUGUGUUUGGCAAAAAUACAAAAAGUUCUGCAUUCACAUUACAUAAGUAUGCUAAAAUGCCCUUUUCACAUGUUUACUAUUACAUUAUUGUAACUGCCAUUAGGUGGCGCUAAUGUUAACUAUCAUAUAUUCUAUUGAGGUAGUUUAAUCAAUUCAUGUCAGUUUGUGUGCUAUUUUAUAUGAAAUCUGUUUGUACAGUAUGACUAGUAGUAGCUACAGCAGUCAGAUAAACUUGAUGAAAUGCAUUUCCCUCUGAAAUGUCGUGGAAUGAAUGAAAACACACAAGUACCUACAUUGUAAAUGUACUUAACAGGGGUGGAGAGUAAACAUGAAAUCACUCAAACAGGAAACAGGAAGCAAAAGUAAAGGUCAUACUAGCCAAUGAUCUGUGUUAUGUCAUGCAAUCAAAAUAAAUAAAAAAACACUAUCAAAACAAAAAAAGAGGAAGAAGCAUGCUCA